AUCUAGACUCCAGAUUGCUGUGCUAUUCCCUGCUGACAGAUGUGGCUGAAACUUGGCUUUCUUGAGACUUCUAGGAAACGGCUGCAGGCCAAGAACAGAAGAAAUGCAAGGUCAGCCCUUGGACACCAUAGCAUAACCUCAUCGGCCAGAGAUGUUUAUCAGUUGUCAAAGAGAUGACCCUACCGUGCGGUGCAACCAGGGACUUGGUGUAAAGUGUACCAAGAGGAGAGAGAAGUGGAGUAGGUGGUUGGAUUACGUCUUGGGACAGAGGGAGCGCAGAGCUGGUGGGGAAGGUGGGAGAAGCGAUGCAUAUGAUCUGCCCCUGGUCAGGGCAGGCUGACACAGGCAUAAUACGGCAUGAGGAGGAGUGAACAAAGUCACAGAGCUGGCAGUAGCCCCUCCUACUGCUGCUUCUCCUACUUCACCAUCCUCUGGUAGCUGCCAGUCUCUUCUCCUAGGUAGCUCUUCAUCUGCCUUUAAUGAUCACUGAUGGUUUGGGCACUUGAACUGCUACCCUGUUUGAUGUGAUCUGGAAUAAGGUUCUUCUUGCCUCUCUCCGGAGGCUCACAUUAUAAACUCCACAGCUGCAGCAGUGAAAGGAUCCUAUGUGCGAUCUCCACUUUGCUUCCAGGAGGUGGGCGGUGGCUAGCUUGUGAUGCCUGCAUUUUCCCACUGGGCAGAAGGUGAGGAGCUCUUACAGCCUCCGGGCUCAACGAGUGAUUGCUCCUCCCAGCGUUCAGCACUGCUGCUCUGUGCAGCAGGACUUAGCAUGCUAAAGUUAAAAGAGUGGAAUUUAAUACUCUCAAGUCCCUUGCAUUCCAAAACCUGGUAUGAAAUCCCUGCUUAUGUUUAAAUAAUCUGCAUGUUUGAGUAAAGGAUUAUGAGCUGGCAGAGGAGGUAGUACUUCCUUUGUUUCCUGCAGGGAAGUGCAGGAGGGAGUCUUUGGGAAAGUCAGCUUGCUGAAGAGCAGAAAGGGCAACCCAGGGAUGCUUCCAGAAAGCUCCAAUCAUGAGUGAGAGCCAAGAGACAGCUGCUCAGAGAGGCAGGAGAAGAAAUAACUAGUGAGAAAUAGCAUUUAAUUACUUCUCACUCCUACCAGUCUGGGAAAGAAGAUCUUUGAUGCUUGGUGGAAAGGGACUGUAUUCUGGUUGUGGCUGAUUAUUCUUCAUCAGGUGAAGAAUAAUGUUCUUGAGCAGCCUCAGUAUCAGAGCACUGCUGCUGCAACCCCUGGUAAACCAUUGGUGGCACUGCAGUGCGACAGACAGCAUGGAGCUGGUCAGGUCUUGAUGCUGGGCUUGGCUUGCUAAUAGUAAAGAUGUUUCAAGAGGAAGAUUGUGCCUGGGCUGAGCUGGAAUACUGUCUGAGCUGAACUGGCCAGCAGCAAGGAUCCUGGGGCUGUGGACAAAGCUACCAGGCCAAAAAGGACCCUUCUGCCUGACGUGUGCAGAAUCCAGCCCCUGGGUGACUGUAGCAGCAGGUAUGAAACUGCCUUGGCUGAGCAUGAGAGAGUAGAGGGCAGGAAGGGUGUGUAUGGAAGAUAAAGGCUUAAAAACUUCCUUUGCUUUGGAUGGAAAUUCAGUUGGUUGCUGCUGAAGCAAAAUGCCUUGACUCUGCCUUUUGACACCUGGAAGCACUUGCCAAAUUCUUCAGGGCUUUUCUCCCCACCACCAACCUCCUCCAUCUGUCAGUCUACUCCUAUCCUUCCUCUACAGCUACAUCAGUGAGAAAGCAGAGCUGGGUGAUGUUAAGCAUGGCCGUUGCUCUAACUGGCCACCUUUGUGGUGCUACACCUGCUUUCACUUGUCUCCUAAGCGGUAAUUGGAGGCGCACCAGGUAAACACCCUGUGACCGCUUGGCAGUUACGCUCUGAAAAAAGGGACUGCAGUCACACGUGGUGAGGACGGGAGGAGCUGCUGCAUGGCCUGCAUCACAGAGCAAGGGACUUACGGGCAAAAUGCAGCUAUUCCGAGGCAGCUCAAUGAAACACACAUAACCUGAACAAAAAUUGAAAGAAGCAGAAUAGGAAAAAAAAAAGCCCACAGUAUUUUUCUCUAACGUUCCCACUACAGACAACAGACACUUUUCUUCCAGCAACUGCCAUGGAUGAAAAUUCAAGGAAAUAAAUAAGGGUUUUCUUUUUUUGGAGAAAAAAAGAAAUUAAGAAUCAGAAAACAAUCAGUGGUAAACUAAAUGUCUCCAACAAUUGUAACCUCAGCUUCACAAAGACUCCAUAUUAAUUUUAGACUUGCUUCUUGUUUAUUUCUAAGUUUAAGCUUUAGUGUACUAAUAAAGUUGACUGAACCAAGGAAA